GUGUGUGUGUGUGUAUACACACUUGGAAUGAUACAGGGAGGAUUAGUAUGGCCCCUGCACACAAAUUCAUGAAGUGCUCCAUAUUUUA
ensembl:snRNA Gm22087 predicted gene, 22087